rnacentral:lncRNA from 1 species
CAUCAAUCAAUCAAGCAAUGAUCUUAUUUUUGAGAGUUGGCAUAAUUAUCCAAGGAGUCUGACAAUGUUCCAUUUGGAAUAUUCAAAUGUUCUAUUUGGAAUAUUCAAAUAUUCUAUUUGGAAUAUUCAAAAACAGUAAGACAUCCAUGGAUAAAAGGCAGAAGGUGUCAGGGAAAAGCUCCUCUGUACGGAAGAAACUAUGAAGUUUAUCUCCACAAGUCUGAGCUGGAGCUGUCAAAAAAAAAAAAAAAAAGAGAGAGAGAGAAAAGAAAAGAAAGGCUGCUGGAUUCACCCUGCAUCGGCUGCAGAGGGCGCUGUGAACAUUGGUAUUCCUGUGGUCUUUGGCCAAAGGGCAUCAACAAAACUAACAUAUAAUAAGUUGGCUGUGAAACGGGAAGUUUCUCCAUGAGACAUUAUGUGGACAUCUUUAAGAAGACAGCUGCAUCUAAGGACACUUUCCUGGUCCAAGGAUGUUCUUGGCUAAGAAGACAGAGGGUGAAUCUAUACACUAUCAACAAUGCAGGUAUUAACAGCCUCUGGCGUGUGGUCUGAAGAUGGUUCACUUUGCCAGGAUGCACUCUCACAUCACCCAUGAGAUUUCUAUUCACCUGUAGAGGCUACCUCUGCUCUCGGGGCUGACUUGUUCCCUCCAAACUGGGAUCCUGCGAGCACUUCACUCACACUGCCACUCACCUUAAUAUCUGAUCUCUAGUGUCCUGCAAAUUCUUCUCAGUACCCUAUUAGGAUCAAGUUAUGGAAAAAAAAUCUCCUCUCGCCUUGUUUCAGACAGUGUAUAAUGGCAUACAUUUAAAAGGAAAAUUUAUAAGGAAAAAAGAAAACAUACAAAAGAAAAAAGCAUUUAUUCAAAAUACAAAUAUUUUAUCCUAAGAACAUUAAAAUAUCU